UCUUUUAGCAGGGAAGAAGCGAAAGUGACGGUACCUGCAGAAAAAGCACCGGCUAACUACGUGCCAGCAGCCGCGGUAAUACGUAGGGUGCGAGCGUUGUCCGGAAUUAUUGGGCGUAAAGAGCUUGUAGGCGGUCUGUCGCGUCUGCUGUGAAAACCCGAGGCUCAACCUCGGGCUGCAGUGGGUACGGGCAGACUAGAGUGCGGUAGGGGAGAACGGAACUCCUGGUGUAGCGGUGGAAUGCGCAGAUAUCAGGAAGAACACCGAUGGCGAAGGCAGUUCUCUGGGCCGUAACUGACGCUGAGAAGCGAAAGCGUGGGGAGCGAACAGGAUUAGAUACCCUGGUAGUCCACGCCGUAAACGUUGGGCGCUAGAUGUGGGGACCAUUCCACGGUUUCCGUGUCGUAGCUAACGCAUUAAGCGCCCCGCCUGGGGAGUACGGCCGCAAGGCUAAAACUCAAAGGAAUUGACGGGGGCCCGCACAAGCGGCGGAGCAUGCGGAUUAAUUCGAUGCAACGCGAAGAACCUUACCAAGGCUUGACAUAUACCGGAAACGGCCAGAGAUGGUCGCCCCCUUGUGGUCGGUAUACAGGUGGUGCAUGGUUGUCGUCAGCUCGUGUCGUGAGAUGUUGGGUUAAGUCCCGCAACGAGCGCAACCCUCGUUCUAUGUUGCCAGCGGUUCGGCCGGGAACUCAUAGGAGACUGCCGGGGUCAACUCGGAGGAAGGUGGGGAUGACGUCAAAUCAUCAUGCCCCUUAUGUCUUGGGCUUCACGCAUGCUACAAUGGCCGGUACAAAGGGCUGCGAUGCCGUAAGGCGGAGCGAAUCCCAAAAAGCCGGUCUCAGUUCGGAUUGAGGUCUGCAACUCGACCUCAUGAAGUCGGAGUCGCUAGUAAUCGCAGAUCAGCAACGCUGCGGUGAAUACGUUCCCGGGCCUUGUACACACCGCCCGUCAAGUCAUGAAAGUCGGUAACAC
rnacentral:rRNA from 1 species